rnacentral:rRNA from 1 species
ACGGAAGGCAGCAGUGGGGAAUAUUGGGCAAUGGGCGAAAGCCUGACCCAGCAACGCCGCGUGAGGGAAGAAGGUCUUCGGAUUGUAAACCUUUGUCUUAUGGGACGAUAGUGACGGUAGCUAAGGAGCAAGCCACGGCUAACUACGUGCCAGCAGCCGCGGUAAUACGUAGGUGGCAAGCGUUAUCCGGAAUUACUGGGUGUAAAGGGAGCGCAGGCGGGAUAGCAAGUCAGCGGUGAAAUGUAUGGGCUUAACCCAUGAACUGCCGUUGAAACUGUUAUUCUUGAGUGGAGUAGAGGCAGGCGGAAUUCCGAGUGUAGCGGUGAAAUGCGUAGAUAUUCGGAGGAACACCAGUGGCGAAGGCGGCCUGCUGGGCUCUAACUGACGCUGAGGCUCGAAAGUGUGGGGAGCAAACAGGAUUAGAUACCCUGGUA